GAAAUGGAACAUACCUGCCCAGCUCUCAUGCCAAGAAGAUCAUCUUACAUGGUUAAAGAGGGACAAUGGAACAUGUGAAUGAGCAGAGGAGAGAUGUAUGGCCUGCCUGUGCCCUGUGGUCUGCCACUCCAUGAGCAGGUAGUAUCUACAACACCCCACAAGCACAGAAUUCUGGCAGACCCAUGAAGUAUGGGAGUUCAUGAGACUCGAGGUGGUGAGUAAAAGGAACUGUCUGAUCUUACUCCACCAACACUGUCCCACCCCCUCCUUGAGGUUCAACAUCCCCCCACGAUUAAAGCUUUGCCUGUGUGUUUGAAUGUCUCCACCCAGUUUUCAUUUUUAUUGUCACUGGGCCAGAAGUUCUCACCUGUGGCAUCAAAUAUGCACAUAUCAAGAGCCUUCCAACACAGUGCCUGUUGCACCUGAGGGUAGUAGCCUGAAAAAGAAGACAGGAAGACCCUGGCAGAGUACCUCCUGAGGCAUAAAGAUGUCACUCUGGCUUCUACAAGAAAAAUUCGUGCAGCAACUUUACCUUGGUCUCCAUGGAAACGGGGCUUGACUCACAUUCCCUCUGCCUAAAAUGAUCUGCUCCCAGAAAGUUGAUGUGGCAUGGUGGGUAAGCACACGAGCCGGAGUCAACUCGCCUAGCUACAAAC